rfam:Rhizoclosmatium globosum strain JEL800 BCR33scaffold_29, whole genome shotgun sequence.
GUCCAUAAAUGCUGUGGACACUUAUGAAAAUUGGAACGAUACAGAGAAGAUUAGCAUGGCUCCCUGUGUAAGGAUGACAUCACUAUCUUGGAAGGAUUACCCGCAAUU